rnacentral:rRNA from 1 species
AGCAGCCGCGGUAAUUCCAGCUCCAAUAGCGUAUAUUAAAGUUGUUGCAGUUAAAAAGCUCGUAGUUGAAUUUCGGGAUUGACACAUCGGUCGUGCCUUAAGGGGUAUGAACUGGUGUAGUCAAUUUCUCACCUUCUGGAGAACCGCGAUGCCCUUAAUUGGGUGUCACGGGGAACCAGGACCUUUACUUUGAAAAAAUUUAGAGUGUUUAAAGCAGGCAUUUUGCUUGAAUACAUUAGCAUGGAAUAAUAAAAUAGGACGGCAUGAUUCUAUUUUGUUGGUUUCUAGGAUCACCGUAAUGAUUAAUAGGGAUAGUUGGGGGCGAUUAGUAUUCAAUUGUCAGAGGUGAAAAUUCUUGGGAUUUAUUGAAGACUAACUACUGCGAAAGCAUUUGCCAAGGAUGUUUUCAUUAAUCAAGAACGAAAGUUAGGGGAUCGAAGACGAUCAGAUACCGUCGUAGUCUUAACCAUAAACUAUGCCGACUAGGAAUCAGACGAUGUUAAUUUUUUAAUGACUCGUU